CCUACGGGUGACAGCAGUCGAGAAUCAUUCACAAUGGGGGAAACUCUGAUGGUGCGACGCCGCGUGGGGGAAUGAAGGUCUUCGGAUUGUAAACCCCUGUCAUGUGGGUGCAAAUUAUAAAGAUAGUACCACAAGAGGAAGCGACGGCUAACUCUGUGCCAGCAGCCGCGGUAAUACGGAGGUCUCAAGCGUUGUUCGGAAUCACUGGUAGUAAAGCGUGCGUAGGCUGUUUCGUAAGUCGUGUGUGAAACGCGCGGGCGCAACCCGGGGGCGGCCCAUGAAACUGCGAGACUAGAGUAAUGGAGGGGGAACUGGAAUUCCCGGUGUAGCAGUGGAAUGCGUAGAUAUCGAGAGGAACAUUCGGGGCGAAGGCGGGUUCCUGGACAUUAACUGACGCUGAGGCACGAAGGCCAGGGGAGCGAAAGGGAUUAGAUACCCGUGUAGUC
rnacentral:rRNA from 1 species